rnacentral:misc_RNA from 1 species
UGCCAGAGACUCCCAUGUGCCCGUAUGUACCAUAACAUCUCUCAUUCCCUCACUUUUCUCUAUUCUUUUACUAUUUAAAAUUAAUUAAUAUGGUGUGUAGCUUUUUAAGAAAAUAUAUUAUUUUAAAUAUAUUUAUUAAAAUUUAAAAAUUAAUUUUAAAUUAAUUCUAAUAUAUUUUAAUUAUAAAAUUUUUAAAACUAAUUUUCAAAAAAUAGAAUUAUAAUUUUUUUAUUACUAAUAAACAAGACUACCUACUUAAUUUGACUUUAUUUGAUAGCAAAAGGUGUAUUAUUCAUAUGAUAAACUCAAUUUAAGUCCCAUUGACCCCACCUAAUUUGUGGUUAUAGUAACCUAAUUUAUUGCCUUUGCCUCAAGGUAAAUGCAAAGGUGGCUUAGAAAUUAAUGCUAGGAUCUAAUUUCAAUGAAAAAACAGUUAUAAUUAAGAAAGAAUGGUAGUGUGGACUUAUAAACCAAGCACAGGUGGAAUAUUAAUAGCUUUCAUAAGAAAUUAAUGGAUUAAACUAGAAGAACUCUCUAGUUAGGAUUUCAGGACCAUUUAUGCAUAUUUGAAAUACGAAUUGAGCUUAAUUGGUGUUCUAAUUUAAUUUUAAUCAAUAUGAUAUUAGUGUUAUUUUUUUUAACUAUUAAAAGAAAGAAUUCUAUUCUUUGGUAAGAUUUAGAAAAUAUAAUUUCAUGGUAUGUAAUAUUAAUUUAGGCUUAUUUUCACUAGUUUCAAGAAUAAAAAAAAGAUAGAUGGAUUCCUUUCGUUCACAUCAUCUUUAAUCAGAAGUUUUUAAUUAUUUAUAUUUAUAUUUUUUUAUCUUAUGAAAAUAUUAUGCUGUACUUCCAUUAUAAUACUUAUUAAUGAAUUGCCAAAGGGUAAGACUAUAAAAAAAAAAUUGUGAAGGAGAAAAGAAAAGUGAUAAUUGGGAUGAUAUAUAAUAAAAAUUAUUAGAUGGGUAUGGGACCUUGGCGCUUGUGGUUGCCACAAAAAGGGGUUUCAAUGCCAUUUUCUUGUGUUUUUUUCUUUCCUUCAAUGAGUGAAUUCUACUGUUUUUGACCCUUUUCCAAUUCUUGUUCUUUAUAAAUGGGUGGUUAUGCUUUUGUGUUACUAUUCAUUGUCAUUUUCUCCUACUUUUUAGUUGCAAAGAUCUUACAUAGAUUUGUAUGCUUGCUUCACAUGUGCUAUAGUUAUUUUCCUAGUAAUUAACAAAUUUUAUUUAUUUGAUUAUAAAAUUAGGUUUUGGCUCCACUUCCAAUUGGA